rnacentral:pre_miRNA from 1 species
AUCCCCAGGGACCUUGUUAAAAUGCAGAUUCUGAUUCAGGUGGUCUAGGGUGAGAUCUGAGAUUCUGCAUUUCUAACAAGCUCCCAUGUGAUACUGA